UACGUAGGGUGCGAGCGUUAAUCGGAAUUACUGGGCGUAAAGCGUGCGCAGGCGGUUCGUUAUGUCCGAUGUGAAAGCCCCGAGCUUAACUUGGGAAUGGCAUUGGAAACUGGCGGGCUGGAGUGCGGCAGAGGGGGGUGGAAUUCCACGUGUAGCAGUGAAAUGCGUAGAGAUGUGGAGGAACACCGAUGGCGAAGGCAGCCCCCUGGGUCAAGAUUGACGCUCAUGCACGAAAGCGUGGGGAGCAAACAGG
rnacentral:rRNA from 1 species